GGACAGAUGGGCUUGCUCCCUGAUGUUAGCGGCGGACGGGUGAGUAACACGUGGGUAACCUGCCUGUAAGACUGGGAUAACUCCGGGAAACCGGGGCUAAUACCGGAUGGUUGUUUGAACCGCAUGGUUCAGACAUAAAAGGUGGCUUCGGCUACCACUUACAGAUGGACCCGCGGCGCAUUAGCUAGUUGGUGAGGUAACGGCUCACCAAGGCGACGAUGCGUAGCCGACCUGAGAGGGUGAUCGGCCACACUGGGACUGAGACACGGCCCAGACUCCUACGGGAGGCAGCAGUAGGGAAUCUUCCGCAAUGGACGAAAGUCUGACGGAGCAACGCCGCGUGAGUGAUGAAGGUUUUCGGAUCGUAAAGCUCUGUUGUUAGGGAAGAACAAGUGCCGUUCAAAUAGGGCGGCACCUUGACGGUACCUAACCAGAAAGCCACGGCUAACUACGUGCCAGCAGCCGCGGUAAUACGUAGGUGGCAAGCGUUGUCCGGAAUUAUUGGGCGUAAAGGGCUCGCAGGCGGUUUCUUAAGUCUGAUGUGAAAGCCCCCGGCUCAACCGGGGAGGGUCAUUGGAAACUGGGGAACUUGAGUGCAGAAGAGGAGAGUGGAAUUCCACGUGUAGCGGUGAAAUGCGUAGAGAUGUGGAGGAACACCAGUGGCGAAGGCGACUCUCUGGUCUGUAACUGACGCUGAGGAGCGAAAGCGUGGGGAGCGAACAGGAUUAGAUACCCUGGUAGUCCACGCCGUAAACGAUGAGUGCUAAGUGUUAGGGGGUUUCCGCCCCUUAGUGCUGCAGCUAACGCAUUAAGCACUCCCCCCCCCCUGGGGGAAGUACGGUCGCAAGACUGAAACUCAAAGGAAAUUGACGGGGGCCCGCACAAGGG
rnacentral:rRNA from 1 species